rnacentral:lncRNA from 10 species
UGGUUAUACAACUUUGUGAACAUAUUAAAUGCCACUAACACUAAAAUGAUUUUAUGUCAUGUAAGGUUCACUUCAGUAAAAACAUUACUGAAAAAGUAAAUUUAUUAUUAACUGGUAACUGAGUAUCUAAAAAUAAUAGAUUCAAGAAAUUCUUCAAGGGAAAGAGACUAGAGAGAUCAUCUAAUUCAUCCCAUUACUGAUGAUCCAGAAGCACUAAAUAUAGUGUGAUUAUUAAAAAAUAUCAACAAAGACGCAACCAUAUUAUUUUAGGCUUAAGGAGUGAACUCUUACUAUCCAAAUAGAUAUGAAUAAAUUUCCAGACGAAUUUAUCACUUUUCUAAUUUACCAUGAGAAUUACUACUAUCCGAACUCAGGAACCAGAUGUGAAUCACAACAGAUACUACUCUAUACUAAUUCAUGCCCUAUCAUGGCCUUCAAGUAAUCAGAAUAUUUGCAAACCAUGUCAAAAAAAAACCCAGAAACUUCCUAUUACAUUUGACUUUAUGAUGUGCGUAAUGACUUAACAAUCUGUAUAUUCUUCUGAUAACCAUCACUGAUGUCAUAUAUCCUGGGAAAUGUACUUGCCUGACCAUCCUUCCCACAAAGACCAUACCUGUCAGAGCAGGAGCAAAGUAUUAUUUUAUUUCCACUGUGCUUACACAGUGCCUAGAAAAGUGUUCAAUACCUACUGAAGGGGUUCAAGUGUUUCUUCGUUCAGUCCAGGGUUUUUAAAAUUUUAACUGCACUGAUAAAAUAACCAUUUCAGUUUUCCACUUUGACAUAAUAAUUUACAAUUAUGUAUUUUUUCGUAUUGUGUGCAGAAGGUACACUUUCCUUUGUAAGCCUUUAUGUCCCUUUCUAGCCCUGAUUGUAUUUCAAAUUUAAUGAUUUGUGGCAACUUUAACAGAAAGCAGCCUUUUCUUUCUUUCUUUCUUUCUUUUUUUUUUUUUGUUUUGUUUUUUUAAGACAGAGUCUUGUUCUGUCAACCUGGCUGGAAUGCAGUGGAAUGACCUCGGCUCACUGUAACCUCUGUCUCCCAGGUUCAAAUGAUUCUCGUGCCUCAGCCUCCAGAGUAGCUGAGACAGUAGAAUCACUUGAACACGGGAGGUGGAGGUUGCAGUGAGCCAAGAUCGCGCCACUGCACUCCACCCUGGGCAACAGAGCAAGACUCUGUCUCAAAAACAAACAAACAAAAAAACUUUAUUAUAGAUAACAGAUACCAAUACUCAGUUAAAAGGGAAAACAGCCUGGGAGCAAAUUCAUGUAUAACAGAGUAUUAGGAAGUGAACACACUGUUCAAAUAAAUAAUAAGAAAGAAAAUAAGGAUACAAGUAGGCAAUUCAUAGAAGACAUGCAAGUGACUGAAAUACAGACAGACAUGAUGGAUUAUCAGUAACAAGUCAUUGUAUCGGACCUAACUAGAACUCUGAUACCCAUUAUUAUUAUGCAUUAAUAAAGCUACAUUAAAGUAAAUAUGUAUGAAUGUGUCUACUAGGAUUUCAG